rnacentral:rRNA from 1 species
AUGCAAGUCGAGCGGUAGCACAGGAGAGCUUGCUCUCUGGGUGACGAGCGGCGGACGGGUGAGUAAUGUCUGGGAAACUGCCUGAUGGAGGGGGAUAACUACUGGAAACGGUAGCUAAUACCGCAUAACGUCGCAAGACCAAAGAGGGGGACCUUCGGGCCUCUUGCCAUCAGAUGUGCCCAGAUGGGAUUAGCUAGUAGGUGGGGUAAUGGCUCACCUAGGCGACGAUCCCUAGCUGGUCUGAGAGGAUGACCAGCCACACUGGAACUGAGACACGGUCCAGACUCCUACGGGAGGCAGCAGUGGGGAAUAUUGCACAAUGGGCGCAAGCCUGAUGCAGCCAUGCCGCGUGUGUGAAGAAGGCCUUCGGGUUGUAAAGCACUUUCAGCGAGGAGGAAGGUGGUGAGCUUAAUACGCUCAUCAAUUGACGUUACUCGCAGAAGAAGCACCGGCUAACUCCGUGCCAGCAGCCGCGGUAAUACGGAGGGUGCAAGCGUUAAUCGGAAUUACUGGGCGUAAAGCGCACGCAGGCGGUUUGUUAAGUCAGAUGUGAAAUCCCCGGGCUCAACCUGGGAACUGCAUUUGAAACUGGCAAGCUAGAGUCUCGUAGAGGGGGGUAGAAUUCCAGGUGUAGCGGUGA